rnacentral:rRNA from 1 species
AGGCCAGCCUGCCAGUGAUCAUUUAAACGGCCGCGGUAUCCUAACCGUGCAAAGGUAGCACAAUCACUUGUUCUUUAAAUAAGGACUAGUAUGAACGGCAUCACGAAGACUAUACUGUCUCCUUUCUUCAAUCAGUGAAACUGAUCUUCCCGUGAAGAAGCGGGAAUUAUAAUAUAAGACGAGAAGACCCCAUGAAGCUUCAAAUUAAAUAUUAACUACUACCACAACACCACCAAAAACCUAGUAGAUAUAAUUAUUAAUUUUAGGUUGGGGUGACCGCGGAGCACAACAAAACCUCCACAAUGAAAGGCCUAACUCCUUUAUUCAAGAACAACAACUCUAACAAUCAACAUAUUGACAUACUUUGACCCAAAUUUUUUGAUCAAUGAACCAAGUUACUCUGGGGAUAACAGCGCAAUCCAUUUCAAGAGCCCCUAUCGACAAAUGGGUUUACGACCUCGAUGUUGGAUCAGGGUAUCCCAGUGGUGUAGCCGCUACUAAAGGUUCGUUUGUUCAACGAUUAAAACCCUACGUGAUCUGAGUUCAGACCGG